GUUCUCACUUGAGCAGCACGUAUACUAAAACUGGACUAUACAGAGAAGAUUAGCAUGGUCCCCUGCACUAAGCUGACUUGUAAAUUCAUGAAGCGUUCCAUAUUUUA
ensembl:snRNA U6 U6 spliceosomal RNA